rnacentral:rRNA from 1 species
AUACGGAGGAUGCAAGCGUUAUCCGGAUUUAUUGGGUUUAAAGGGUGCGUAGGCGGUUUGCUAAGCGGGAGGUGAAAUGCCGGCGCUCAACGUCGGAAGUGCCUCCCGAACUGGUGGACUGGAAUGACUCUGCCGUGGGAGGAAUGUGUAGUGUAGCGGUGAAAUGCUUAGAGAUUACACAGAACACCGAUUGCGAAGGCAUCUCACGAAGGGUUGAUUGACGCUGAGGCACGAAAGCGUGGGGAUCAAACAGGAUUAGAUACCCUGGUAGUCCACGCAGUAAACGAUGAUGGCUAACCGCUGGUUUAUUCGGAUCAGUGGCCAAGCGAAAGCGAUAAGCGCCCCACCUGGGGAGUACGGUCGCAAGGCUGAAACUCAAAUGAAUUGGCGGGG